ACGAUUUUUUCUCAGUUCCUUCAAUUCCGUGAUUCCUAAAGAUCAGGAAUUCAAAAUACACCUAAUUUUUUUGCCCCAAUUUCACCCGCAUCUCCUAAAUAUUGGUCCAUUCCCUUUUAUCGAUUCAUAUAUCAAGAUUUGCAGUCCUCAAUUUAAGGUAUGACUGCUUCUUCUUUCCCAUUCUUUCACUCCACCUUCCUUCUUACCACACACUGUCACUUUCCUCCUUCAAACCCUCAAAAUUCUCAUGCUUCAAGGGUUUUUGGUUCUUGUCGUCGGACCUAAUGAUAGUUGUAUCUCCGCUACACACCGUUCUGCUAGGAUUCGUCAUACCCACCGUCACCACCCUUCCUCUAUCUACGAUCUCACCCUCUAUUAAAAUCGACCUUAUUAGGGCUAAUUAUACAAAACAAUGGAACAUCUCGACAAAGUAUUAGAGCCUUGUAUGAAGCUACCGAAAUGGCAACUCAAGAGGGUCUCAUGUUUGGACAAAUUCUUGAUAUUAAACCUUGUGGAUUUUUUUCAAUGUUGAUUUUGUUCAACUGGUAAUUCCUUCUUCCUCCUCAAUGAGGGCAGGUCUGGAUGAGUUUUAUAUGAUGAUAGCAAUGGUGUUUAGAGAGUUGUGGAAGACAGAGUCGUUGGCCUCAUAAAAUAAGAAGGAUUGCCAACACAAGAAUAAGACUUAUACUAAAUUGGUAUUUAUCAAAUGGCUUUGCUACAUUUCCAACUUAAUGUAUAUGUGGUCAAUGAUUCCUGAAGGAUGGGAUUUUAUAAGAAUCAUAUAAAAAUACAAGUUCUUUUCUCAAUGGCAUUGAGAUGUUCAUUGGCAAUAUGAAACUUUACCUUAGAGGGAAAAGAAUAGAUGAAAAAGGUUUUUUUUUUCUUAUGAAAGUUGCUUGGUUUAGGAAGUUGAGGUGAGAAGACUCAUUUCACGGGAUAUUCAUUUUUCAUUAUCUUCAAAUGGGCAAAAUUUUUUUUUAUCACAAUUCCGUAUAGAUUGUUUCUUUUUUAUUUUAAGAGGUUCUUACAUGACAUGUUGAUAAUGCGGAAUUGGCUGAUCAAAAAUGGAACUGAAUAAUGAUUUAAACUUACUGUUUUUUUUUAAUUAUGAUUUUGUUUCCUUUUUGCUUGAAACUGUCCAAAAUACCCCCAACAGACACUUAAAUUUUAAUUAUUUUGUUUAUAGCAGUUUAUUUUUUAUCCACUUUAAAAGUAUUGGUUAAUAACUUAAUAUUAUGUCGUUAGUUAAUGUUAUUUGACAUUUUUUUCCCAAUAGUAGAACAUAAUCUAAAUUUUCUUCUUGUAGGAAGAAUUAGUGGAAGGAAUGCCAAGAAAGAAGCAAUUAUUUGAUUUGUUGACUCUUUUCUUAUGAUGAUGAUGCAAAACAAAUUGUACUUUUUACUAGCUAAUGACUUGAUGUAGCUUGACUAUGUAUUCCUUCUGCAACUUUUCAUGGGCUCUGUUAUGCCUUAGUAAGUCUUGAUGCUUAACAAUGAAAAAUGGGUUCAUAAAUAAAUGUUUAUAACUUUUUUUUUUUGUUAA